rnacentral:lncRNA from 1 species
CUUCCUUCCAGCUCAGCCAACUCACAAGAUUCUAGAAUCUACUUUGUCUCCAGCUGUUUAGUUAGUUAGCUAGUUUAGUUAUGUUAGUUAGUUAGGUUAGUUGGUUGAUUAGUUAGAACUUUAGUUAAUUAUUCUACCAUUUUCUCUAUAAAAUAGAGUCAUUGUAUGCAUUGAGAAAUCAUUGGAUUUUAUUUCUCUCUCUCCUUUCAUGGAGGUUUGUUUACCUCCUUUCAUGGAGUGUAUUUGUUCUUAUCCUUUUAUGGAGUUUAAUUUAAGGUUUCUAAUUCAAGAAUUCAACAUUUACCUUGUAUAAAAUGAUUCCCGAGUGAUAGUAGGGGCUACCUCGUAUAUAGAUUUCUGAGUUUCUUGGUUGAAGUUCUUCAAUUUUGGCUGCCAAAAAUAUCGGGGAAGGUUCUAUUGGUGAUUUUUGGGUUGAUAUAGAUCUGUUUACAGAUUUCUGUGGCGUAGAAAGGAAGUUUUUGCAUAAUCUUUUUGGUGUCAACAGGCUCUUCUGCUGAAUUGUUCCUUUGCUGUGGUGUCAUUGGGUUGGAAUGUUGAAGAAUUGGGCUAUUUCUAGUGGGUUUCUAUUGUCUUGGGCUCAUUUGAAGACUCGAAUUGCUUAAAUUGGCUUUUGUUAUCUAGAAUUGGACCUAUCAGCUGUUCAUGGUUCUUAUUUCUUUCUGGUACAGGUCUUGAAUUACUAUUUUAGCCUCUUGAGUUUUCUUUUAUUCCAAUUCAUUAUGUCUGGAGAAAAUUCUAUUGUUCGAUCUAAUGGAAAGAACUUUUCGACCUGGGAAUUUCAAUUCAUGAUGUUUGUAAGAGGAAAAGAAUUGUGGGGUCAUUUAAAUAGCUCAUCUAUCGCUCCUAUUGAUUUAAAGGAGCUUAAUCAAUGGGAAAGUAAGGAUGCAUGCAUUAUCUCAUGGUUACUAGGUUCUAUUGAACCUCAUAUGUAACGCCCCAAAUUUUAAGAACUUAAAUUUGAG